AACCAUAGAAACCUGCGGAGUACCUGCGGAAGGAUCAUUACAGAGUUGCAAAACUCCCUAAACCAUUGUGAACGUUACCUAAACCGUUGCUUCGGCAGGCGGCCCGGGUCCUUCCCGGCGCCCAUCGGCCCUCGCGGGCGCCCGCCGGAGGUAAACCAAACUAUUGCAUUGUAUGGCCUCUCUGAGUCUUCUGUACUGAAUAAGUCAAAACUUUCAACAACGGAUCUCAGAUCGGAAGAG
rnacentral:misc_RNA from 1 species